GGAUUUCUUGCUGUGCAAAUCGUUAACCAUCUUAACCAGCUUUACCACCCUAGUUCAAAAUGAACACCAUGGAAGCCUGAUUCGUGAGAAAGCUGAGUUUUAUUUUUACAUGUUGACAUCAGAACUGUCUCAAUAAUUAAAUUAAAAAGUAGCCACACAUUCAAAAGAUUGAAAGGAAAACUAAUGUUAAAUAAAGAGAACUGAGGGACAACAUCAUUAAUGGCCCAAAAAAAAAUGAGUAAGAAAGAAAUAAUUUCUACCUGCUUCCUUACCAAAUAUUUUUUCCUAAUCCCUAAAAGUCUGAGAUUAUUAUAACAUACUGUAGAAUAUGUGAUACAUAUCACAAUGCAGACUUGUAUCAAAACAUCACUUGUCCAAUUUCAGUCUUUGUCAACUAAAGCUAAAAAAUGUGAUAAAAUACUUUUCUAUUGGCAGAAUGGGAUCAUACAACUUUUUUGCCAAAUUGCUUGAAAGCCAUCGCAGAGACUAUCAAAAUGUCAUAAAGCAUGGCCCAUUCAUUCUGAUUUAAACAUUCUUUGAAAUCAGUAAUUCAAAAUGUGAAAAUCUUGCCUUAAGAUGUUCCUAGCUGUAUUAUUUACUGACACCUAGAAGCAAUCUAAAUGUCCAACAUUGUAUACAUAUACACUGAAUGGAAGAUUAAGCUUUUAAAAUUGAUUAGUAUGUACGUGUUGGGGCAUGAAUGAAUUUUCUCUACGUGUUUUUAUUUAUUUAUUUAUUUAUUUUGGUAUGUGCUAUGUUGCCCUUUCGAGGUUAUUGGGUUUCUUUACAUUUUUUCUUUUUUCUCAAUGUGGCAUUUGAAGGAGAAAUACACACACUCGAGCUGCCACUCUGAGCCACAGUCAGGUGACGCACACCUGCGCUGUGCUGCCCUGGCUCUCCGCUGUUGGAAACACGGGGCGCCCUCUCUUACAGCACGGGUCGUGGUGAGGGCGGUGGUCGCGGGUAUUCUAAAGCGAGUUCUUGUGGGAAACACGGCUGUGCGAGACGUCCGCGAGGCACCGGGAAGCACCUGCAGCCGCGGCCUGCCUUGGGGACAAUAAUCCGCUUCCCCGCCCCACCUCUGGGUGGUGCCGAGUGUGUUUCCCCUGCUGCAAUCCCCGCUCUCUACCGAAUGAGUUUCUGGAACCAAACUGCCUACAACCGUGCGCCCUCAUCUUGUUCCAAGGUCAAACCAAACGU
rnacentral:lncRNA from 1 species